UACGUAGGGGGCAAGCGUUGUCCGGAAUCAUUGGGCGUAAAGCGCGUGUAGGCGGCUUCGUCAGUCCGUUGUGAAAGUCCAGGCUCAACCCUGGAAUGCCGAUGGAUACUGCGGAGCUCGAGUCCGGAAGAGGCGGAGUGGAAUUCCUGGUGUAGCGGUGAAAUGCGCAGAUAUCAGGAGGAACACCAAUGGCGAAGGCAGCUCGCUGGGACGGUACUGACGCUGAGGCGCGACAGCGUGGGAGCAAACAGG
rnacentral:rRNA from 1 species